AGCAAAACUGAGCUAAACUUCCCUAUAUCAACUUAAGAAACCCACACGAUACAAAGGAACAACUCUUGUAGCGAGACGAAAACGACGAUAAUGAAGAUUAUUCCGCUUACUGGGAAGAAUAUAUGAAGAGAUUCCACAUCUUCAUGAAGGGAAAUGGUCGGUAUCCUUUUAAAUACGGAGUUUGGCCGCGGCAACGUCCUCAUAAAGGAAAAGCGAUUCCAGAAGAUGUCCGUAUGAAAUUAAUGAAGCUGCUAGACAUCGAGUCCAAGCCCGGAAACUGGAGGUAUCUGGCUGAACGUUUGGGGGCAUCUUACUUAGAUGUACAAUUCCUGGAAAGCCGUAACCGUGAGUCACCAACGCAACACGUCCUCAACGUAUUCGAAACAAUGAACAAGCCUUUAACUUUUCUGAGAGACGUCUUCAUUGACCUUGACCGCCACGAUGUUGUUACUGUGUUAAAUGACGAGAUUAAUUGAUGCCAAAUAGGCCACUGGUCAGGGAAUGAGCCCACACUCCUCCCGCUCCUCCUAAACGAAAUCGAUUGGAUUCGUAAUGGCUGUUUAAGACACAAGACAGCGAGAUCCACUUUGACCUUACCGCGCAGACGUUGUUGCUGUGUUAAAUUACGAGAUAAAUUAAUUCCGAGAAGGCCACUGUUCAGGGAAUGAGACCACGCCCACCCCGCUCCACAAAGAAAUCGAGCUUUGAUCCGCAGUGGAUGUUAAAGACAUAGGACAGUAUUAACUCAACGCUCAGUGCAGUCCUCAUGUUGCUCUUUUCAUAAGGGAUAUAUGUUCCUGAUUGUCAUCUUGAUGACGUUAGCGUUGUUACAGGAAAAUUUAAUGAUUUUUCCGUGUGUUUGAU